rnacentral:misc_RNA from 1 species
GAAAUGCGAUAAGUAAUGUGAAUUGCAGAAUUCAGUGAAUCAUCGAAUCUUUGAACGCACCUUGCGCUCCUUGGUAUUCCUUGGAGCAUGCCUGUUUGAGUAUCAUGAAAUCUUCAAAGUAAAUCUUUUGUUAACUCAAUUGGUUUCUACUUUGGUAUUGGAGGUCUUUGCAGCUUCACACCUGCUCCUCUUUGUUCAUUAGCUGGAUCUCAGUGUUAUGCUUGGUUCCACUCGGCGUGAUAAAUUAUCUAUCGCUGAGGACACUGUAAAAGGUGGCCAAGGUAAAUGCAGAUGAACCGCUUCUAAUAGUCCAUUGACUUGGACAAUACUUUUAUGAUCUGAUCUCAAAUCAGGUAGGACUACCCGCUGAACUUAAGC